rnacentral:lncRNA from 1 species
AUCUCUUUCUCUUUCUGAACAAAGUAUAUUAUUUAAUAAAAUAUUGAUGGUUAGAGUAAUACGAUUAUUGUAGAGUAAGUACUUUGUUCCUGGGAGGUUCCCUCUAAAUCCUCAGAAUUUCUCAAGUGAUAGGAGUGUCUUUGUUAUUCCUGGUGGGUCCUGAUAGUUUAUGUUAAAGUGACUCAGGAUGGGGACUGGCCACAUCAGAAAGUCCAAUCAUGUGAUUCAAGGGUUGGGGCUUUCAGCCACAUGACAUCAGCCUAACCUCUAGGAAAAGGAGGAGAAAUGGAAAUUGAGCUCAGUCACAUGACCAUGAUUCAAUCAAUCUGGCUUACAUAAUAAAAAUCCAAUAAAAACUCUAGACACUGAAGCACAGGUGAACUUCUUGGUGGAAAUACACAUUGGAAUGUGUUAUGGAUGGAAUGUUUGUAACCCUCCAAAACUCACACGUUGAAAUCUAAUUCCUAAUGCCAUAGUGUUUGGAAGUGGGCCUUUGGGAGAGUGAGCCAUCAUGAAUGGGAUUAGUGUCAGAGAGCUAGCUUGCUUGCUUUACACCAUGUGAGGACAUUGCUAGGAGACAGCUGCCUGUAAACCUACAGGAGGGCCCUCACCAAGAACCUGACCCUGCUGGCACCCUGAUCUCAAACUUUCCACCUCUAGAACUGUGAGAAAUAAAUGUUAAUUCACCCAGUUUAUGAAAUUUUGUUAUAGCAGCCCAAGCUGGCUGAGACAAAAGGUGACACAUGUCCUGAGGACACAGAAGCUUCUUGGGACACUCCCAGACUUUGCAUUUGGGGCCUCUUUCAGCUUGUCCUGAUAUGUAUCCUUUCUAAUGAAACUGUAAUUCCAAAUUCUUGAGUUCUGUUCAUUAUAUUGAAUUAUGAAAACUUACGGGGUAGGGGAAAUACUCAAAUUUGUAACCAGCUAGUCUAAGGUGUGAGUGGACUGGGUGAUAUUGUGAAAUAUAUAUUUGGCCUCUGCCUGAAGGUCAGGAGAUAGGGUUCCUAAGCCCCUUGGAGACAGAAGUGCUAGGAGAAUCUUUUGUUCUAAUAUAUGGUCUUUGACCCUGGUUCAUGACAUAGAAUUCCUAACAUCUUUGCAAUUUCUGAGUGGUAGUAACAUCUAACACAGAGCUCCUAAAUCCCUUGGAAUUGGUAACAGAAGCAUCUUGUGUGCUAAUAAGAUGACUCUUGGCGGGUCCUGGAUAGCCUUAGGAUGUGAGCUGGUUGCCCAGGGAACCAACCAUGUGAUUAGAGCACUGAAACUUUCAGGACCACCCCCCACCCCCACUCCCGACGAACUGAUUUCUGAGGAGAGGAAAGGGGCUGAUGGUUAAGUUGAUCGCCAGUGGCCAAUGAUGGAAUUAAGCAUGGCUACAUGAUGAAGUCUCCAUUAAAAAAAAUAAUAAUAAAAUAAAAUAAGAAACAGGACAAGGUUCAAAGAGCUUCCAGAUUGCUGAACACGUGGAGGUGGUGGGAUGGUGGCAUCCCCAGAGAGGGCAUGGAGGGUCUGUGCUUCUUCCCAUAUUCAUCAAUCAUCAUUCAAUUCGUCUAUAUCAUUUGUCAUAUUUUUUUAAGAGACAGAACCUCACUCUGUCACGUAGGCUGGAAUUCAGUUGCACAAUCAUAGCUCACUGCCGCCUUGAACUCCUGGACUCAAGUGAUCUGCCUCAGCUCCCCGAAGCACUGGAUGUUAGGCAUAAUCCACCACACCCAUCCUAUGGUAUUCUUUAUAAUAAACCAGUAAAUGUAAGUAAGCAUUUCCCUGAGUUCUGUGAGUUGUCCUAGCAGAUUAAUCAAACGAAGAGGGAGCCAUGGAGACACCCAAUUUAUAGUGGGUUGGUCAGAAGCACAGGUCACAACUGGGGACUUGUGACUGGCAUCUGAAGUGGGAGGAAGUCUUAUGGGACUGAGAGCUGAACCUGUGGGAUCUGACACGAUCUCUAGGUAGAUAGUGUCAAAUUGAGAUAAAUUGUAGGACAUUCCAUUGGUGUCCACUGGAGAAUUAAUUGUUGGUAGGGAGAAAUCCAUCCCCCUCAACAUAUACAUUUUGUUGGCCCGAAGUGAAAUGUUCUAUACAAUGUUGUAUGGCUGUGUAAAAAAACAAAAACUGUUUUGCUAAAGACCUCAGAACGCUUGAACUUGCAGCUGGUAUCUGAAGAGAGGAGAGUCUUGUGGGAGGUUGUGCUGUAACCUGCGAAGUUUGCAGUAACUCCAGGUAGUUAGCAGCAGAAUUGGAUUGCAAAACUCAAGGAAGAAAUAGGUAUAAAAUGACUCCUAAGAGUAAGACAUUAUAUGCCACCAAAAAAAUUGCAGAAAAUGGGGUACAAUUUGUAUGCUAUCUGAAAGCAAAAGAACUGUGAAGUUUUGAAAAACCAUCUUUCUUUAUUAAAAUAUUUAACUUUAACCUGGGAUUAGUUGCUCACCUUCAUUCAGUCAUUUUUGUGGCUCACAACAGUCAGUGCCCAUUGAAGGCCUUGCAGGCACUUCAGGUUUUCUAAGAACUAAAUCAUCCAAUAAAUAUGACUUCAUCCAAAGAAAACUACCAAUACAACAGGACUUACUUGUCCACCUUCUCUCUCCUUGAUGCUUAACUUUUUAAUGUUAUUCAGGAAGAUUUUAGAUGCAUAUAACACAUCCAUUGGUUACCACAAAUGCUUUUUUCCAAUCAUUCGUUCAUUAGACAUGUAUAUAUUAGCAAACCACUAUGUGUCCAGCUCUGGGCAACAGAUAGCGAAAAGAAUAGCAACCUUGGCCUCAGAACUUUUCUGAAGCUCUAUUUGCUAGCUCUGUGACCUUCAGCAAAUCAUUUGCCCUUUCUGUAAGAUAAGGAGAUUGGACUAGAUGACAUUAUUGGGGUAUAAAUGUCCUGUCCAACUCUAAAUGCUAUUGAUUCUUUGUGUCAGCCUACAUUUCCUGGGAGACUGAAGCAUGACUUCUUCACCGCGUGUUUGCCAACUCUCUUGUGAGUCUUGCCUCAGCUCAUUCUCAAACUCCCCCUCCUUGUUCCAUAAAUCUGCAUACGAAAGGACCAGACAGCUGUAGCUCUCAACAGCUUUGGUUUUCAUCAGUGCCUGUGUCAUCCUGUGUGCUGAAGCUGCUUUUUAAAGGGGCCAAGCCUCCUUUAAACAAUUCUAAAUAUUUUUGAAGAUACAAACCAGAGCAUAACAAGCUUACAAAUAGAUAAAGCAGUAGAGUUUUUCCACAGGUGGUUAAACUAACAAGAAGAUAUCUUUGUGGGAAAUUUCCUAUGAUGUAGGUUGAUUGUAGAGGGAACCAGAGCAACCUUGGAGAAGCUAGGAUAAUGUUAGACAGUGGGAAGAAAUCAGGGAGAAAGGUAGCAUCAGCAAAGGAGGCAGGACACAGGGAAGAAAAGCUGAGUUCAGAGAGGACAUCCUGCAUGCUACACACUCUGCCAGGUGUGCUAUCCAUAUUCACCUAAAUUUCCCCACAAAACCAAAAAUGAGUCAUAGUUGUAAGGAAUGAUACUGCAGCUGAAAAAAAUACCACUGCUAGAACAACAAAGACUACUGAUGAGUUUGUUAAAUAAGUCAAAGAUAGAGAAAUAGACAUUCCCACAUUCAUACCCUUUGCUAUGGUUUGAAUCCAUGACUCAAAAUUCUAGUGUUGAAAACAUAGUCUCCAAUACAGCAGUGCUGGGAAGUGGGGCCUAGUGGAAGGUGUUUAGGUCAUAAGGGCUCUGGCCUUCUGAGUGGAUUAAUUCCAUUAUAAAAAUGGCUUACAAAAGUGUCUUCUCUCUCUUCUGCAGAGCAGAAGACACAGCCUUCAUCUCGUCUUCCCCUUCCACCUUCUGCCGUGUGAGGACACAGCAAGAAGGCCAAUCCCAGAUGCUGAAACCUUGAUCUUGGACCUCCCAGUCUCCAGAGUGUUUGAUCCUUGGGAAGUAUAAAAGAAUAGAUUAUGAAAAUCUUGAUGCCCUGUUGGAUGUGUCCAAGGGUUAUUCAAUGUCAAAGACAUAACAACCUGGUAAAAAGGGAAGCCUGCACAGACAGGCCUCCUUAUCCGUGUAUUCAGCAAACCCCACCAGCUCUCCUCAUCCAGUGGCCGUAAGAGCAGUACCUCAACAUGAAUAACAGCAACGCCUUGCGCUCAUAUAAUGCUCUCUGGUUUACAAAGUGCUUUUCAUAUUGGGUUUGUUUCUUUUUAAUGAGAGGGAAAGUUAUAUGAAGGAUUUUAUUCCCUUAGAAGACAGGAGACUUUUGGCAAGAUUUUGAAUCUUUCCUCUGUGGCCAAUUAGUGACAAUUCCACUUUUGCAAGACAGCCGUCUCCCUGUCCAAUUUGACAAGGCAAAGCAAGAAGACUGGCACUAAAUUCGGUGCCAACAGUAGUUCAAAAUCUCACCACCAUCAAAAUAUGAAUUUGGAUGCAAAAUUCCAGAGCUUGCAUAGUCUGCUACGGCCUCCAAAGAGGCUGAAUUGUAAGCAGAGUCAGCUUCUAAAAGGAGGAGGUUGGUGGCAGUGUAAAUGGCAUACCCUUUCUGCAGAGGAAGUUCAGCAACAUAUUUACAAUGAAAGCAAAAUUGCAUAAUUGUGCAAAAACAUACAUACCAAUAUAUUUAUUUCAGCUUCAUGUAUAGUAGGAAAAAAUAGAAGGGAGGGUAUUUAUCAACCUAUAGGUAGUUAGUUAAACAAAAUAUGGCAAAAUGAUUAACUGGAAUACCAUGUACCCAAUAAUAAAAAUACAAUGUUAUACCACAUGGGGAUGGGUAGAUUAGGCUAGGUAUUAAAGAACCUAAUAGGCUGUGAUAACGCAAGAGUUGGACUUUUUCUCAGUGUGAAUUAGAAAGCCACUGGAAAUUUUUGAACAUAGAAGUGACAGGAUUUGACUUACAUCUUCAAAGGAUCCCUUUGGCACUAUGUCAAGAAGAAACUACGGCAGGACUGUGGGAGGAAGCAAUGGUGAUACACCAGGGGGGCUGGUGAUGGCUCAGAGCAGGUGCUGUCAGCAGCGGAGGUGGGGAAAGUGCUUAAAGUCUACAAACGGUGAAGGUCAAGAAAGCAUGAUUUUUUUAAUAUAUUGGGUAUAAGGUGUGAGAGAAAGUGAAGAGUCAAAAAGGACCCCCAGGUUUUGAUUAAAUAGGUGUGUGUGUGUGUAUGUGUGUGUGUGUGUGCAUGCAUGAGUAAAGCACAAAAGAACGCACCCCCAAAAUAACAGGGUGGUUGCUGAAUAAUUAGAUAACAGAAGAUCUUUAUUUUCAUCUUUCCACUUUUGUUUGGGAUUAUGCAAGGAGCAUGUGUUACUUCAAAAUUUAAAAGCUAUUUUUUUUAGAUAAACUGAUGACAUUAAGAAUAAGAAACAGUUUGCCUAGCAUAUAUUUUUUUGGUCAGCCACCUUUUGUUGCAUGACAACCAAGCCUCAUAGAAUAGCAAGCAACAACUCUGGAAUGUGAAGCAAUAUCUGACCCCCAACCUGCCCAGUUUUAGGAUUCAUAGCAGGUUGCAUAUCUCUAUCUGGGUCUUUUCUAACUGAAAGAAGAAAUUUGCUAAGGCCUCCCACACGAUGAACCUGAAGAUUAACACCACGGAGUCAGCACACCUGCCAACCAAACCACAUAAGUAAACCUCCAUCUGUGUAGUGAAAUGACUAAUUCUUAUUCUCAUUAACCCUCUUAGAUAGCAUAUUUGAGUCUUCCUCUUUUUUAAAAUUUUUAUUUUCUCUUUACAUUUUCAUAGGCCUAUAGCAUGCAUACAUUUUAUUUUGGUAAACCACCUCAAAUCCUUUUAUUAAAUAUAUGGAGUGAAAUAAAUACAUACAUAAAUAGCUGGUUGUUUUUUUUCUCCACAUCCCCCUCCUUUGAUUCCACAUUUACCUGCUUGAUUUAUGUCUUGCUCACCAUCAUGCUAUUCAUUCUCCUAACUUCUUUCCUCUACUGUGCAAUUAACAGAAGUCAUGAGGAGAACCAUGCAGCUGAGAAAAAUAUUCAGAUAAAGGUCUGCAUGCCACACCAUGCUAUUAGGAGAAACAGUCCAAACAAAUCUAAUACAUAAGUAAUACACUGGGUCCAGGGAGCUGUGUAUGAACUUGGGCAGAUAUGCCCUCAGCAGACACUCGUCACAGCAGGAAUGGGGUACCCCUGAAUGUGAAUCUCUUCAUUCUGCAGUAAAGAUUAAUAAAACCUGAUUGUGACCCAAAAAUUGUGACAUGAUACACUGCAGGAUAAACAAAAUUGUUCUCAGAGCAGAGGUAGAUUUUCCAGCAUUAUAUGGAAGAACUUCUGAUAAUUUGCAUAAAACCAGAUCUCUUCCAUUUCAGCAAACCUCCCUUCUCCAGUGCAGCUGCACCAUUCACUUUUUGUCCUUCAACAUGUGCACACCUUGAACCAAUGGAUCAGUGAUAAUUCCAAGCUGUGCUUCUCCCUGGGCUACUUAUGACGGGGACUUUUGCAUUUCUAGCUCAUCUCAUGGCAAAUAUUCCAACACUUGGAAGUUAGGCACACAGUCUGUGCAUGUACUAGGCAUGUGGCUUUCUGCAUAUGUCUGCACAUCAUUUUUCAGGAAACUCUAUUUCACACUACACCAGCUUGAUGAGUAGCUGUUGUUCACACCCACUGAGAAAUAACUUCAUGUGAGAAUAAUACCUUUACAACUUUGAAAUGUCCUCAGACAGACUUCUCAUCUCCAGGCCAUCAACCUGCUGUGAACUCUCAUCCUGACUUUUCACACUUACAGGCAACAGUCGUGCAACAUACUGUCAAACAAUAUGAAGGUCUGGGGAGAUGUGGAGGAGUGCAAAAUUAAAUUGGAGCCAGAACAUCUUUUUAGCUCAGUAGAAUUUUUAAUAAUUAAAAAAAUCCACCAUAUAUGCAAGUAUAUUCAUAUUUGGUGUCUAUUUAAAACUUCUUCUCCAUGUCUCUGAAGUGUGUCUAGAUUUCUUAUCCUUAUUGUCAUUCUUUUUGUUGAAGGAUAGUGUAUGAAUUCUGCAUCUGUGGUCUCUGUCCUCAAGAUACUUCCUAAUUCCAUCUUCUUCAAGUAUUUCUGAUCAAAAAUCUCAGUCUUUUCUUUAAGACGCAAUUAUUAUAACACUGAAGCAAUUAAGAGCUUGGUGGGGGGUCUGAAUUUUCUCUUUGAGAACUAUCCAGAAAUAAUUUUAGUCCUCUUUGUUGAAAAUCCAGCAAAAGUUAGGCAUUCAAUGAAUAGCUCUGUAGGAAGAAAUAGAAUAACCAACUCUUUCAUUCAACAAAUAAUUCAACCCCUGAAAUGUGCCAGACUGUGAGUCUGCUCAGCAAGGUGAGUCGGAUGUGGAUCUGGGCCUCAAGGAAACUCACUCGAGCUCAGCGGAAGAGCUGACAUGUCAAUUACAGUCUCCCCAAUUCAACAAGAACACUUCUCAGCAAGGACUGAAUUACACACAUCAAACUUCUCCUGUUAAUUUUUAGUUAAGUAGAAAGUUCAAUUAAGUGGAAAUCAACUCACUCUUAGUGUUUAAUUCUUUCAGUUAAUGUCCAACUAGCUCAACAUCUGGAACUCAGUUCAACUCAACAAAUGUUAUUGAGUUGAUUCCCAUAGAGUGCAGCAUGCAAGGUGCUUCGUACAAAGAAGACACUGGUAAGAGAGAGGAUGACUGGUUAAUGACAAUCUGCCAACCUGGACAGAAGAGUGGGCUAGUACACAGUACUUGUCAUUCAGAGCAAUAAGAGUAACAACAGCAGAAUACAAGAUAUGGGCACUGAUUAUAGAGGUUCAAGGAAAAAGCAGGGCAACAAAGAAUUAAUUGAGCAGCCUCCUUCCUGUCUGUAGAUGCACAAUCAGGAGGCCUGAAUGGGUCCUGACCCAAGACACCUUCUAGAAGUUAUUUCAAAAGUGACCAGCAUCAGUUAGUUCCCUUUCGAUUCACCCCUCUCCUAAAGAGUCAUUAGAGAGAAAAUCUGAUAAAUUAAAGCUCUGAGUAGUUUAAUUCUGUUUAAUAAGAGUUGUCCUGAAUACAUAAUUUUGGAUUUCUUCUUUAGACUUACAAGAUAUUUUUUAUGUAAAUUAUUGUUUGAAUGUGAAACUUAAAAAAGUGUGUACAUAUAAGCAUAAUAAUAUAUGCUUUAUAUUUAUAUAAUGUAUAAUAUAUAUCUUAUAUGUAUAUAAUGUAUAAUAUAUACAUUUGUAUGUACAUACAGAACACAAAUAAUAAGUAUAGACAGAAGGUUCUUGAAUACUAACAUUUUGUUCAAAAUCAUUCUGUUAUAACAUUGAUGAGAAAAAAAAUUGAUUCCCACCCAGGGCCACUGUCUGUAUGGAAUUUGCACGUUCUCCCGAAGUCUAUGUGGGUUUUCUCCCACAUUCAAAAGAUGUGCAUAUCAGGUUCACUGGCAUGUCUGAGUGGUCCCAGUCAGAGUGACUGCAGGUGUGUGUGAGUGCACCCAGUGAUGGGUAGGUGGCCUAUCCUGGCAUGUCUGAGUGGUCCCAGUCAGAGUGACUGCGGGUGUGCAUGAGUGCACCCAGUGAUGGGAAGGUGGCCUGUCCAGGGAGGGCAUCCUGUCCAUGGUAGGUUCCUGCCUUGGGCCCUGAGCUGGGAGAAUAGGCUCUAGCCACCCACAACCCUGAACGGGAAUAAUUUGGUAAGCAAUGAUCUUACUUGUUUUUAUUCGUCUUUCUUAAAUGUACAUAUAUCUCACAUUUAUUUCAAUGUUUAAUAUUAAAGUGUUC